rnacentral:rRNA from 1 species
AUUGAACGCCGGCGGCAGGCCUAACACAUGCAAGUCGAGCGGAUGAAGAGAGCUUGCUCUCUGAUUCAGCGGCGGACGGGUGAGUAAUGCCUAGGAAUCUGCCUGGUAGUGGGGGACAACGUUUCGAAAGGAACGCUAAUACCGCAUACGUCCUGCGGGAGAAAGUGGGGGAUCUUCGGACCUCACGCUAUCAGAUGAGCCUAGGUACGAUUAGCUAGUUGGUGAGGUAAAGGCUCACCAAGGCGACGAUCGUUAACUGGUCUGAGAGGAUGAUCAGUCACACGGGAACUGAGACACGGUCCAGACUCCUACGGGAGGCAGCAGUGGGGAAUAUUGGACAAUGGGCGAAAGCCUGAUCCAGCCAUGCCGCGUGUGUGAAGAAGGUCUUCGGAUUGUAAAGCACUUUAAGUUGGGAGGAAGGGCAGUAAGUUAAUACCUUGCUGUUUUGACGUUACCGACAGAAUAAGCACCGGCUAACUCUGUGCCAGCCGCCGCGGUAAUAC